rnacentral:rRNA from 1 species
GAGAGAGAGACAUGCGCGCAUAUCAAUAAGCGGAGGAAAAGAAACUAACAAGGAUUCCCCUUAGUAACGGCGAGUGAAGCGGGAAGAGCUCAAAUUUGAAAUCUUCAAGGGUUUACCUUUACGAAUUGUAGUUUAAAGAAGUGUUUUCUGUUGAGGUUUCGGUAAAAGUUCUUUGGAAUAGGACAUCAUAGAGGGUGAGAAUCCCGUAUUUGACCUUUACUUUCAACUUUGUGAUACACUUUCAAAGAGUCGGAUUGUUUGGGAAUGCAGUCCAAAAUGGGUGGUAAAUCUCAUCUAAAGCUAAAUAUUGGCGAGAGACCGAUAGCGAACAAGUACCGUGAGGGAAAGAUGAAAAGAACUUUGAAAAGAGAAUUAAACAGUACGUGAAAUUGUCAAAAGGGAAGCGUUUGACACCAGUGUUGUUUUUCUGAAAAUCAAUUAAAGAACUGUUUAUGCUAAGUUGUUUAGACUUUAUCAGCUAACUGUUUAGUUUUGAGCUUUUCUUUAAUGCACUUUUCAGUUAACAAGUCAACAUCAAUUUCUUUUGCUGUAAAAAAGCUUGAGGAAGGUGGCUUGAGAUUCGUCUUAAGUGUUUAUAGCCUCUUGCCUAUGCAGUCGGAGAGAUUGAGGUCUGCAGCGUAGAUCCUUCGGGGCUAAAUGCAUUUGUGCUAAGUUAUAGCAUUUUAUAGACAACUUGUUGACUAUGAUUUGUCUUGUAGCUUACUCGCUUAUGUUAUUUUACCUACGCUUAGGAUGUUGAGCGCAUGUCUCUCUCU